UGGGGAAUAUUGCACAAUGGGCGCAAGCCUGAUGCAGCCAUGCCGCGUGUGUGAAGAAGGCCUUCGGGUUGUAAAGCACUUUCAGCGGGGAGGAAGGCGUUAAGGUUAAUAACCUUGGCGAUUGACGUUACCCGCAGAAGAAGCACCGGCUAACUCCGUGCCAGCAGCCGCGGUAAUACGGAGGGUGCAAGCGUUGAUCGGAAUUACUGGGCGUAAAGCGCACGCAGGCGGUCUGUCAAGUCGGAUGUGAAAUCCCCGGGCUCAACCUGGGAACUGCAUUCGAAGCUGGCAGGCUAGCGUCUUGUAGAGGGGGGUAGAAUUCCAGGUGUAGGGGUCAAAUGCGUAGAGAUCUGGAGGAAUACCGGUGGCGAAGGCGGCCCCCUGGACAAAGACUGACGCUCAGGUGCGAAAGAGUGGGUAGCAAACAGG
rnacentral:rRNA from 1 species